CGUCCUUUUAAGGAGUUUUAUCUCAAUUCCCAGAUGGUGGCCCAACUGUGACGGCUUGAGUAGGAAAAAUGGCUGCUUCUACUGCUCAUCUCUCCCUCCUCUCCAAAUCGUCACCCUCCUCACCUUCAUUGCCGCACGUCCUCUUCACUCUGCCCAAAACUAGCUCCGUUCCGGCCAAUUCCCGGUUCAGAUGCUCGGCUGGACAGACGGGGUUCUUCACCCGGCUCGGUCGCUUGCUUAAGGAGAAGGCCAAGAGUGACGUCGACAAGAUCUUCUCGGGCUUCUCGAAAACCCGCGACAACCUCGCUGUCAUUGACGAGCUCCUCCUCUACUGGAACCUUGCCGAUACCGAUAAAGUCCUCGACGAACUCGAAGAGGCUCUACUGGUGUCUGAUUUCGGACCAAGGAUCACCAUUAAGAUUGUGGAGAGCUUGCGUGAGGAUAUAUUGGCAGGGAAACUCAAGUCAGGGAAUGAGAUUAAGGAUGCAUUGAAGAAAAGUGUGUUGGAGUUUUUAACUAAAAGCGCUAAUAAAACCGAGCUUCAACUUGGUUACAGGAAGCCAUCUGUGAUUAUGAUUGUCGGCGUUAAUGGAGGAGGCAAGACAACAUCACUCGGAAAACUGGCCUAUAGACUGAAAAAGGAAGGGACCAAGAUAUUGAUGGCAGCAGGGGAUACUUUUAGAGCAGCUGCUAGUGAUCAGCUGGAGAUAUGGGCUGAGAGGACUGGAUGUGAGAUAGUUGUGGCUGAAGGAGACAAGGCCAAAGCAUCAUCAGUUCUUUCACAAGCUGUGAAAAGAGGGAAAGAACAAGGUUUUGAUGUAGUAUUAUGUGACACGUCUGGACGUCUCCACACUAACUACAGCCUGAUGGAAGAGUUGAUUGCAUGUAAAAAAGCUGUGGGCAAAGUUGUUUCAGGUGCACCAAAUGAGAUCCUGCUAGUUUUGGAUGGGACUACUGGUUUGAAUAUGCUACCACAAGCACGAGAGUUCAAUGAAGUCGUUGGAAUUACUGGUUUGGUUUUGACAAAACUUGAUGGUUCUGCCAGAGGUGGCUGUGUGGUACGCUUUAUACUCAUCUGAACGGUCAGUGUGGUAGAUGAACUUGGCAUCCCUGUAAAGUUCGUUGGUGUUGGAGAAGGUGUUGAAGAUCUUCAACCGUUUGAUGCUGAGGCCUUUGUUGAUGCCAUAUUUUCAUAAAGCCUAAAAGGGUUUCUUGUCUUGCAAUUCAGAAAAGUCCUCGGCAUAAUAGCUGUAGCCAGAAGAGAUUAACCUUGAGGUCAGUUUCUGAGAGUUCAAGAAUACUUUCUCAUACAAACGUGAGAAGAAGUGAGUUUUGGCUGCGGAGAAGUGGCCCUUGUCAAGACCGUACACAAUUCUUUCCUGCUGAUUAUGGUUGCAAUGACGAAAAUUUAAUGUGCGAGAUUUCAUCUCUAAUGAUCACUAAUUUUAAUUCUCCUUUU